GACGAACGCUGGCGGCGUGCUUAACACAUGCAAGUCGAGCGGUAAGGCCCUUUCGGGGGUACACGAGCGGCGAACGGGCGAGUAACACGUGGGUGACCUGCCCUCAGCUCUGGGAUAAGCCUGGGAAACCGGGUCUAAUACCGGAUAUGACUCCAUGACGCAUGUUGUGGGGUGGAAAGCCUUGUGCGGCUGAGGAUGGGCCCGCGGCCUAUCAGCUUGUUGGUGGGGGUGANGGCCUACC
rnacentral:rRNA from 1 species